ACACAAUAAUAUCCAAAACCUUUUGGAUCAACCCAACCUUAGUGAACUGUUUUUUCUUAACUUUAAUCUUUUAAACUAAACUCAAUCUGAUUUGUAUAAUGUCUGAUCUUUUUUCUCGAAUAACUUUGAGAAAAAUAAUUCUAACGUAAUA
rnacentral:misc_RNA from 1 species